GGCUUAACACAUGCAAGUCGAGGGGCAGCAUGGUCUUAGCUUGCUAAGGCCGAUGGCGACCGGCGCACGGGUGAGUAACACGUAUCCAACCUGCCGUCUACUCUUGGACAGCCUUCUGAAAGGAAGAUUAAUACAAGAUGGCAUCAUGAGUCCACAUGUUCACAUGAUUAAAGGUAUUCCGGUAGACGAUGGGGAUGCGUUCCAUUAGAUAGUAGGCGGGGUAACGGCCCACCUAGUCUUCGAUGGAUAGGGGUUCUGAGAGGAAGGUCCCCCACAUUGGAACUGAGACACGGUCCAAACUCCUACGGGGGGCAGCAGUGAGGAAUAUUGGUCAAUGGGCGAGAGCCUGAACCAGCCAAGUAGCGUGAAGGAUGACUGCCCUAUGGGUUGUAAACUUCUUUUAUAAAGGAAUAAAGUCGGGUAUGUAUACCCGUUUGCAUGUACUUUAUGAAUAAGGAUCGGCUAACUCCGUGCCAGCAGCCGCGGUAAUACGGAGGAUCCGAGCGUUAUCCGGAUUUAUUGGGUUUAAAGGGAGCGUAGAUGGAUGUUUAAGUCAGUUGUGAAAGUUUGCGGCUCAACCGUAAAAUUGCAGUUGAUACUGGAUAUCUUGAGUGCAGUUGAGGCAGGCGGAAUUCGUGGUGUAGCGGUGAAAUGCUUAGAUAUCACGAAGAACUCCGAUUGCGAAGGCAGCCUGCUAAGCUGCAACUGACAUUGAGGCUCGAAAGUGUGGGUAUCAAACAGG
rnacentral:rRNA from 1 species